rnacentral:rRNA from 1 species
GACGAACGCUGGCGGCGUGCCUAACACAUGCAAGUCGAACGGAGUAAGAAUUUCGGUUUUUACUUAGUGGCGAACGGGUGAGUAACGCGUGAACAACCUGCCUCCCUGAGGGGGAUAACACCUGGAAACAAGUGCUAAUACCGCAUAAGACCACAUAUCCGCAUGGAAGAGGGGUCAAAGGAGCGAUCCGCAGGGAGAGGGGUUGGCGUCCCAUUAGCUAGUUGGCGGGGCAACGGCCCACCAAGGCGACGAUGGGUAGCCGAGCUGAGAGGCUGAUCGGCCACACUGGAACUGAGACACGGUCCAGACUCCUACGGGAGGCAGCAGUGGGGAAUAUUGGGCAAUGGGCGCAAGCCUGACCCAGCAACGCCGCGUGAGGGAAGAAGGUCUUCGGAUUGUAAACCUCUGUCCUAUGUGACGAAGGAAGUGACGGUAGCAUAGGAGGAAGCCCCGGCUAACUACGUGCCAGCCGCCGCCGUAAAAC